GACGAACGCUGGCGGCGUGCUUAACACAUGCAAGUCGAACGAGGCCCUGCCUUCGGGCAGGUGACCUAGUGGCGAACGGGUGAGUAACGACGUGGGCAACCUACCCUCAGCUCUGGGAUAACCCCGGGAAACCGGAGCUAAUACCGGAUAUGACCUGGAACGACAUCGCUCCAGGGUGGAAAGUUUUUCGGCUGAGGAUGGGCCCG
rnacentral:rRNA from 1 species